UACGGAGGGGGCUAGCGUUAUUCGGAAUUACUGGGCGUAAAGCGCACGUAGGCGGCUAUUCAAGUCAGAGGUGAAAGCCCGGAGCUCAACUCCGGAACUGCCUUUGAAACUAGAUAGCUCGAACAUCGGAGAGGUAAGUGGAAUUCCGAGUGUAGAGGUGAAAUUCGUAGAUAUUCGGAAGAACACCAGUGGCGAAGGCGGCUUACUGGACGAUUGUUGACGCUGAGGUGCGAAAGCGUGGGGAGCAAAC
rnacentral:rRNA from 1 species